GGCGGUAUAGCCAAAUCUGGUUAAGGCAAUCGGCUGCAACCCGGUGAUUCUGAGUUCAAAUCUCAGUACCGCCU
rnacentral:tRNA from 1 species